ACAUGCCUACAACAUAGCGCUAAUGCAAUAGAUCCCAUUAGAUUUCCACAAUUAAGAAUGAUCAAGAUAGAGUAGCACUAGGAUGGGUGACUAGCUGGGAAGUCCUAGUGUUUUACAUGCC
rnacentral:rRNA from 1 species